AUGCCAAAUCAAGAACACGAGAGAGAGAGAGAUCAAACACAUAGCUACUGGUACAUACCCUCAGCCUCGAGGGUGAACUACUCCCUCCUCGUCAUGGAGGGCGCAGGGGUGAUGAAGAUGGCCAUCUGUGAGGGAUUCCCCCUCCGGCAGGGUGCCAGAACAGGGUCCCGAUUGGUUUUUGGUGGCUACAGAGGCUUGCGGCGGCGGAACUCCCGAUCCAGGUUAUUUUCUGGAGGUUUCUGUAUUUAUAGGAAUUUUUGGCACAGGUCUCACGUCACAGGGGUCUCCGAGUCGUCCACGAGAUAG
rnacentral:rRNA from 1 species